CGGAGGGGGCUAGCGUUGUUCGGAAUUACGUGGGCGUAAAGCGCGCGUAGGCGGACCUGCAAGUCGGGGGUGAAAGCCCGAGGCUCAACCUCGGAACUGCCUUCGAUACUGCGGGUCUCGAGUCCGGGAGAGGUGAGUGGAAUUCCUAGUGUAGAGGUGAAAUUCGUAGAUAUUAGGAAGAACACCAGUGGCGAAGGCGGCUCACUGGCCCGGUACUGACGCUGAGGCGCGAAAGCGUGGGGAGCAAACAGGAUUAGAUACCCUGGUAGUCCACGCCGUAAACUAUGGGUGCUAGCCGUCGGUCGGCAUGCCGGUCGGUGGCGCAGCCAACGCAUUAAGCACCCCGCCUGGGGAGUACGGUCGCAAGAUUA
rnacentral:rRNA from 1 species